GUAGGUAUUAUUCCCCUCUUACUAUGAUAUUUACUGUGUGCUUUAUUAUUUCAGAUCACAGAAGAGCAUAAUGGGUGGGAGCACAGAUGCCCCCACUUAGCAUUUCUGUAACUUAGGAAAGUUACUUAGUCUUUCUAAACCUCAGUUUUUCAUUUGUAAAAUGGGGAUAAUAAAAGUACGUACCUUGAAGGGUAUGGUAAGGAUUAAAGUCUUUAAUAUAGAGAGAACAUGUAACACUCUGAAAACACAGUUAGUGGGGUAUGGAAAGUGCUUAAUAAUUGCUAGCUUCUUGUAGCUACUCUGUGUCAGGUCCUAUGUUAAGUACUUAAAAUGCAUUAUUUCUUGGACUCAUUAGAAGAACUAUAUUGUUAUUGCUUAUUUGUUCAGCUUUAUUGAGGUAUAAUUGACAAAUAAAAUUGUAAGAUAUUAAAAAAAUAAUAGUAAAGUAGGGUAAGGAGGGGGCCAGAGAGAUGGCAGAGGUUACUCUGUACUGUGGACUGAAUGUAUGUGUCCCCCCUACAAUUCAUGUGGAAGCCCUAAUCCCUGAUGUGAUGGUAUUUGAAGGUGGGGCCUUUGGGAGGUAACUAGGUCAUGAGGGUAGAUCCCUCAUGGAUGAGAUCACUGCCCUUAGAAGAAAAGACAUGAGAGAGGUGAUCAUUCUCUCUGUCAUGUGAGGACACAACCAAGAAGAAAGCCCACAUCAGGAACCGAACCCGCUGACACCUUGAUCUUGGACUUCCAGCCUCCAGAACUCCCUCCAAACCCCUUUCCGGAGUCAACAAAUUUCCACUCCUAGGUAUUUACCCAAGAGAUGUCACACUUUCUCCAGAGUGGUAGUACCAUUUUGCACCGCCCACGACAUAGAAGAAUUGCUGGUUGCUCCACAGCCUCGUCAGCACUGGGUUUUGUCAGCCUGUUAAUUUUAGCCAUGCUGCUUUCGGCAUCUUAAUUCCCCAACCAGGGAUCCAGCCCAUGCCCCCUGCAGUGGAAGCUAGAGUCCGAACCACUGGACCGCCACGGAAUUCCCUUGAAUGCUUUUUAUGUGCCUAUUAAGACCAUUUGUAGAUC